AGGAGCUUAGGAUAAGACACAAACCAAAAGCCUUCAAAGCUUUAAAUAGAGGAUAAAGACUUCUAGCCCCUG
rnacentral:tRNA from 1 species